rnacentral:rRNA from 1 species
ACUCCUACGGGAGGCAGCAGUGGGGAAUUUUGGACAAUGGGGGCAACCCUGAUCCAGCAAUGCCGCGUGAGUGAAGAAGGCCUUCGGGUUGUAAAGCUCUUUUGUCAGGGAAGAAACGGUAGUAGCUAAUAUCUACUACUAAUGACGUACCUGAAGAAUA